UCAUUCAGACAUUUAGUCGUCACAUCAGGCAUCAAGAAUUUCUUCAGACAUUAAACUGCUACAGCAUUAACGGGAUAACAUCUACUAUCAACUCCUCACAGGAAGAGAAUAUCCUGAUAAAGAUUGUUCUUAACAGCUGACUGAGAAAAAUCAAAUUAAUGGCACACAUACGCCAUAGAAGGUACAAUAGCAUAGAUGUUUUGCCUCAUUUAUUUCACAUGGAAUAGAAAGCGCAAAAUAUUGUAUGACGAAAUGGGGAGACUGGAUAUUACAUGGACUGCGGACAGAAUAAUGGAUAGAGUAAAACUCGAGUGAUAAGGAGGAUCUGCUAUGGCGUAACAUUGAUUCUGCUAAAAGCUCAGAACUUUGUGCCCAGUGAACAAGAAAGAAUUGGUCAGUAAUGUAAAGGAUAGUAAAGAAAGACAUGUGCACAGGAAAAACCACAACAUCACAGCAAAAAUGGACUCCACCGCCAUCAAGUUACCUGAAAAUUAAUGUUGAUGCAGCUUUUAAGGAAGAAGAUCACACAGGAGGCUGGGGCUACAUCAUUCGCAAUCCAGAGGGAUUUGCAGAGGCAGCAAGAGCGGGGAGGUUGACGCAUAUCAUGGAUGCUCUCCAUGCAGAAAGCCUAGCCCUCAUCGGAGCAAUUGAAAGAGCAAGUGACUUGGGGUGUCAAAAUGUCAUUUCUGAAACUGAUUCCCAUGUGCUGCAACAAGCAAUCUCCACUGAAGAGUAUGAUGCUUCCCAGUGUGGUGCUGUAUUCAUGAAGGCAAGAAGACUUUUAUGGUUGUAUUUUAAUGAUGUAAAAAUUGUGUGGGUUCCAAGAGUCUGUAACUACGUAGCCCAUGUUUUAGCGUCUCAUGGCGCCAGUUUGGAGUCGGGAAACCAGGUUCACUGGCUCCACGAUGUCCCAGACUUUGUAAAUUCUGCAAUUACCAGCGAUUUAGCUGGCCUGCCUGAGUAAUAUAUUGUCUGUGUUUUGUUUGUUUUCGAAAAAAAAGUAAAGGAUGGUUAAAGAGUUCUGGAAGAAGUUUGUGUAAACACACGUACCAUAAAGGAAGACUGGCUCCACUCUCGAGAUGCAUGAGAACCGAUUGCCUCUUUCCAAGGGCUGCUUUAAAUCCUCCAUCUUAUGACAGUGUUUAAUCUGUACAUUCUGUAUUUCUGAAAUUGCGUUUUCUCCUCCAAUUGAUACAAUGUCUGGACAAUAUGAAAUCGAUAAAUUCUCAAGUGAUGUGAGACUAGUGCUCCAAAGCCUGCCUGGAAUGGAUGUUAUGUGCCGACAUGCAUCAAUCCUCAAUGUAACAAGGGAUGUAAGGUUUUGUAGGCAGCUGGGAACCCAUGCAGAGAUAUUCCCGCAUUUAUAUAAGGUGAGUCUUUGGAGGGAAGAUGGUAACAGAAAUCCCUUCUUCCAGCUGAGUCUACUGCAAUCAGAGAUCUCCAAAUCCUUCAGAUAAGAAAAAUUCCCAAACCUUUCACCCUGCAAGGACUUUAAUCUGCCACAAGAUCUGAUACAAACUCUCUCAAUGGCAGGUAGAUAUUCUUCUGAUAGGAGAUCAUCAAUGGUUGACAGCUUGUAACACCGUUCAAUUGUUAGUGAAGUAAGAUAUGGGAAUGCUCUAGAUCCACCAGUGUUUCUGAUGACCUGUCCAGAUUGUCCAAUGAUAGAUUCAAGAAAUCGACAAUGUGAAAUAUUCAACUCCUUCAAUGCUGGAAGAUUCCACAUUUCUAGUUGGAUGGAUGUGAGAUGGUUGCUUGACAAAAAAAAGUAUGUGAGGGUGCAACAGUCUAUAUUGUCUGCGAGAUUGCCACAACUAGGGUCAUCAUAACUAAAAUCACUCUCCUUACCCAGCACAAGCCUCUUGAGAGAAGGUGCAACCAAAAUUUGCACAGAUAUAUUUGGACAUCCUUGCACCUUCAAUUCUUCAAGGCAACAUAGAUCCCCAAAUCUUUCAGCUGGUACUGAAACUAAGUUGUUGCAAUCUUUAAUUGUGAUUUUCUUGAUUGUCGUUGCAUGUACAACAUGUUCGAGGCAUGAUAAAUUUUGGCAAUUAUCAAUGAGUAGGUCCGACAGGGAUGAGAAAAUACCAGUAAUAUCAUUAAUGUUGUUAGUAAGCACCUCCGGUAUCUCACUUGGGUUUAUACGCUCUGGGUUAGUGGAUGCCAAUGAGCUCUCAAGUCCACAACUGAUAAAUAAAGGUGACCUUAAGCUUGGCGAAAUCUCAGUCGGCAACCACCCUGGAAGCAAUACACCUGGAUAACCACGGAGGAGCAGAGACUUGAGGCAGGUGGGAGGUUGUAGAACUCGAAGGACGUCUAUACUGUCUUCCGGAGAACUCC
rnacentral:lncRNA from 1 species